rnacentral:rRNA from 1 species
GACGAACGCUGGCGGCGUGCCUAAUACAUGCAAGUUGAGCGCUGAAGGUUGGUACUUGUACCAACUGGAUGAGCAGCGAACGGGUGAGUAACGCGUGGGGAAUCUGCCUUUGAGCGGGGGACAACAUUUGGAAACGAAUGCUAAUACCGCAUAAAAACUUUAAACACAAGUUUUCAGUUUGAAAGAUGCAAUUGCAUCACUCAAAGAUGAUCCCGCGUUGUAUUAGCUAGUUGGUGAGGUAAAGGCUCACCAAGGCGAUGAUACAUAGCCGACCUGAGAGGGUGAUCGGCCACAUUGGGACUGAGACACGGCCCAAACUCCUACGGGAGGCAGCAGUAGGGAAUCUUCGGCAAUGGACGAAAGGCUGACCGAGCAACGCCGCGUGAGUGAAGAAGGUUUUCGGAUCGUAAAACUCUGUUGGUAGAGAAGAACGUUGGUGAGAGUGGAAAGCUCAUCAAGUGACGGUAACUACCCAGAAAGGGACGGCUAACUACGUG